UACGGAGGAUGCGAGCGUUAUCCGGAUUUAUUGGGUUUAAAGGGUGCGUAGGCGGAGUGCCAAGUCAGCGGUAAAAAUUCGGGGCUCAACCCCGUCGUGCCGUUCAAACUGGCGCCCUUGAGUGGGCGAGAAGUAUGCGGAAUGCGUGGUGUAGCGGUGGAGUGCAUAGAUAUCACGCAGAACCCCGAUUGCGAAGGCAGCAUACCGGCGCCCGACUGACGCUGAAGCACGAAAGCGUGGGUAUCGAACAGG
rnacentral:rRNA from 1 species